GUGGGUUUUGGCUCAGUGGUAGAGUACUCGCCUAGCACAUGAGAGGCCCUGGGUUCAAUCCUCAGCACCACA
rnacentral:tRNA from 1 species